rnacentral:sRNA from 1 species
GUUUAGUACAUGGAAUUGGUUUGUAUGAUCAGGGUAAUAAGGUAGAGAGAUUGGGAGUUUCUAUGUUUUUCAAACCUCUUCCACAUAUUCAGUUUUAUGUUUUGCUUGAGGGCAAGCAAAGACUAAGUUUGGGGGAGUUGAUAUAUCAUGGUUUUUACUAAUUUCUAACAUAGUUUCAUAAUAGUUUUUGGAGUCUUUCUAGUAUUUUUUGUAUGUUUUGAGUCAUUACUGUUUUACAGUUUAGGUGCCAAACCUCUUGUGUCGCCAUUGUCCAUGAUAAUAUCUCUUGC